GCCCGGAUGGUGGAAUCUGGUAGACACACGGGACUUAAAAUCCCGAGGACCCGGAAGGGUCCGUGCCGGUUCAAGUCCGGCUCCGGGCACCA
rnacentral:tRNA from 1 species